UCUCUCUCUCUCUCUCUCUCUCUCUCUCUUUUUCUCUCUCUUUUUAAGAGAGAGUGAGAGAGAGAGUGAGAGAGA
rnacentral:miRNA from 1 species